rnacentral:rRNA from 1 species
UACGAAGGGGGCUAGCGUUGCUCGGAAUGACUGGGCGUAAAGGGCGCGUAGGCGGACAUCUUUGUCGGGCGUGAAAUUCCAGGGCUUAACCUUGGGGGCUGCGUUCGAGACGGGGUGUCUUGAGUGGGGAAGAGGGUCGUGGAAUUCCCAGUGUAGAGGUGAAAUUUCGUAGAUAUUGGGGAAGAAACACCGGUGGCGAAGGCGGCGCCCUG